UUGAACGCUGGCGGUAUGCUUAACACAUGCAAGUCGAACGGGGGUAGUAAUACCCUAGUGGCGGACGGGUGAGUAAUGUAUCGGAACGUGCCCAGUCGUGGGGGAUAACUAUCCGAAAGGAUAGCUAAUACCGCAUACGUCCUGAGGGAGAAAGCGGGGGAUCGCAAGACCUCGCGCGAUUGGAGCGGCCGAUAUCGGAUUAGCUAGUUGGUGGGGUAAAGGCUCACCAAGGCGACGAUCCGUAGCGGGUCUGAGAGGACGACCCGCCACACUGGAACUGAGACACGGUCCAGACUCCUACGGGAGGCAGCAGUGGGGAAUUUUGGACAAUGGGCGCAAGCCUGAUCCAGCCAUUCCGCGUGAGUGAAGAAGGCCUUCGGGUUGUAAAGCUCUUUCAGCGGGAACGAAACGGUCGAUCCUAAUACGGUCGGCUAAUGACGGUACCUGCAGAAGAAGCACCGGCUAACUACGU
rnacentral:rRNA from 1 species